ACGACUACAUCAUGUUGAAACCCCAGUUCCUAUACACUCCCGAAGUCAAGCAACAUUGAGCCUGGUCAGUACUAGAUGGGUGACUUUUUGGGAAUACCAGGUGCUGUAAG